GAAGAACGCUGGCGGCGUGCUUAACACAUGCAAGUCGAACGGAAAGGCCCUGCUUUUGUGGGGUACUCGAGUGGCGAACGGGUGAGUAACACGUGAGUAACCUGCCCUUGACUUUGGGAUAACUUCAGGAAACUGGGGCUAAUACCGGAUAGGAGCUCCUGCUGCAUGGUGGGGGUUGGAAAGUUUCGGCGGUUGGGGAUGGACUCGCGGCUUAUCAGCUUGUUGGUGGGGUAGUGGCUUACCAAGGCUUUGACGGGUAGCCGGCCUGAGAGGGUGACCGGCCACAUUGGGACUGAGAUACGGCCCAGACUCCUACGGGAGGCAGCAGUGGGGAAUAUUGCACAAUGGGCGGAGGCCUGAUGCAGCAACGCCGCGUGCGGGAUGACGGCCUUCGGGUUGUAAACCGCUUUCGCCUGUGACGAAGCGUGAGUGACGGUAAUGGGUAAAGAAGCACCGGCUAACUACGUG
rnacentral:rRNA from 1 species